rnacentral:lncRNA from 1 species
AUCUUGCAUAUUCAAAAUUGUCUUUUUUAAACAAUGAACAUGUACCUCAAAAGAUGAGAAAAUGUCCUAAAAACGAGCGAUAAACAGUACUUGGUAAGGAAUAUAGUUCCGCAAUUGAUUUAACUUGAUCGCAGAAACAUCAGCUACAUUUAAAAUUUUGUUAAAUUUAAAUUAGCCAACAGGUCCUGUUCCGGCAUUGUCAACAUGAGUUCCGACAGCUCAGUAAUCAAACGAGUGUGUCUGGAGGCAGAAGCUGGAGGUCCAGCCGUUAAAUAUCGGAUACAGCUCUUAGACAAAUCUUUGAUUGACGAAAGUGUAGAGUUUUUGGCGAAGGAACUAUUGCCAUCGACAAAAGGUUACAUGACGAUUAUUUCAAGUCUCGGUUUCUUGUCAGAUAAAGAUGCAUGCGACGAAAUAAAGAGUGUAUUAAGAAAACACUUUUGCGAGGGAAUCUCCUUAGCAGCUUUGCUUGAGGAUUACUCGGGAAAUUGUGGACCUUUGAUCGGGUGUAAUGUUUUGUAUAAAGAGAGUACGUCAGAGAGAGAAUAUCGGAGGAUAAAAUGAAACUAUUCUACCAAACAUGGGCCGACUUAAAAAAAGGGGUGGACGUGCUCAAGACUUUCAACUGCUCGGACUUCAUCAAUUCCUGCGGCCUUUCGGUGGCAAGCGACUUCCGGGGUCAGGGCAUCGCGACAGAACUCUUAAGGGCGCGUGCUCAAGUCUGCCGGCUCACCGACAUCCCACUCACAGCUAAUGUCUUCAGUGGUCCCUACUCCCAUAAGGCGGCCGCUAAAGCAGGCUUCCGAACGCUCUCGGAGCUCGACCUCAGUACUUAUCGGAUAGACAACAGGAUCGUGUUCCACGAAGCUAGAGGGUGGCCCACUGCUAAGUAUAUGGCCAAUAAAUAUUUUUAGAAAGACACAUUUUAUAGACACACAUUUUUAAGACAGGCGCGUGUACGUAGUACGUAGCCUAUUGAGUUCUUGUAAGUGUCAAGGAUUCCCUGCUAAAAAUGAUGAGUAGGCUAUUCAGAAUUCGCCGACUCACAUGAGUAGAAUUACCUACUUAUAUGAGUAGAAAUCCUACUCAUAUCACUAGAAUAUUCUACUCAUGAGAGUAGAAAAGUUCAACUCAUAUGAAUUCAAUUUUUUUCAUUUUUCAGGAGUGGUGUUUUUGACCAGGAGACACCGACAUGAUAUGUAAAUUGAAAAAUAAGAACAUUUUGUUCUUAAAAUUUUUUUGAUGCAGUGACUAGUUUCUGAGAUAUCGGACACGGUAGAUUCAACGCUGAACUCAUGUGAGUUGAAAUCUCCAGUCAUAUGAGUUGGAAUCUUUAGUCAUAUGAGUCGGCGAAAAGUGAAUAGAGAAAAUUCUGCUCAUAUAAGUUAAAUUCUAUUCACAUAAGUUGAAAUCCUAUUCAUGUGAGUUGAAAUUCUAUUCAUAUGAAUUGAAAUUCUAUUCAUAUGACUUUGAUUCUAUACUCAUUCGUACUCACCAUUUUUAGCAGGGUUUGGGUUGUAAAUACUUUUCUCAUGGAAAAUUUCGCGAGACAACCGAUGGUGCUACUUAGAGUAGCUACGAAAUAGGGAGAGUACGGACAUGUUGAAAUGUGGAGCACUCAGGGCCCAAAAUGGCAGAAAAGCUUUGAAAACGAAAAUAUCAUGAGAUUCCAAUAUCAAACCUAAAUGGCCGAGAAUGUUCAUAAAUGAGCGUUCUCCCGUAAAAAUGAGCAAAUUUAUGCGAAAAUUAAGUCAAAUACGUGCUUUACCAACUACUUACUCGCACUAAUUGUAAAAAUGAAUCACUGUAGUUAAUUUGAAUUCAUCGAUUGGCUAUCCUCUUGCGCCCUAAGAGCCUCAUCAUCUGUCCUCAAAAUUACCGACCUGUCCGUACUCUCCCAAUAGGCACUCUACUACUCUGCCGUGCUACGGAAAAACGCCGUAUGAGCCUUCAGGCGUUGCCAAAUUUCCUCUCGCAAAUUACUAAUUUUCAGGCAAAUAUUUGGAUAUUUUUCUGCCAAUUUCUCAGAUAAUUUUGUUUGUGAUUUGAUCUAUAGUGUCUGAAAAAUUCAAGGAAAAAUAUUCAUAAUUUUCCUAAAAAAUAAGCAUUUUAUCCACCGAAAUUUGGCAACUCUCGAAUGUUCAUACGGCGUUCUUCCUCAGCAGGCCAGUACUCUAGUGCCACCGUUCUCUCCGAAAUUAACUCCCAAGCUCUACAAGUUGAGACCGCAUUGGAGGAAACAGCCUACGCUACGCCGAGAGUUCACCACUACAUCUAAUCAACUCUCCAUGUACAGACAGGGAGCAGGUACAUUAGCAGGGUUGCCAUUUUGAUUGGGAAUUUCAAGCCUGAACCUCGGCAACCCUGCUAAUAUAUUUGAUCCCUAUUCGUGCAUAGGGGGGUUUGACUGGGUAUUGAGGUGGACUCUCAAUAACGCCACAGGACUUUUACACAAAUGGUUUUCUUUUGGGGGAAACGGACAUUUGCACAAAUAUUCUUGAUUAUUUAUUUUUGGUGGAGAAGUGGCAGCACUGAAGUAGCACAGUAAAAAUGUCACGUGCGGUGAUCGAAUGGUUAAUAAGAGGCUAUCGGAUCUCUAAGUUAUUUCCCUUUUCCCGGAUUUUACCAGGCUUCAUUACCUCAGUGCCUCAUUCAAUUUUCUCCGACCCUGUGCCCUUUCCACUCCCAGAAGCAGAAAAAAAAAAUUAACACGCCGAAUGAUUGUGAAUAUUCGACAAUCCUAAGCCUGUAAAAGUGUGAGGGAAAAGAUUUAAAUUUCAUUAUUCCAUAUUUCGCCUUUGAGCUUUGUCGCCAAAUGGUCAGAUUUGUGCAAGUGUUUACGAAAGAGGAUAUUCGCACAAUUUUUUUUUUGCAAAUGUCCAUCAGCCCUCAAUAAAGCGUGGGAUAUCCCUUCUCUUACGGCCUUAACUUACUGAGCUUCAUUUGAGUUCGUUUCGAGCCUUGUUUACCAAUCUUACAAUCGCUUUCUAUUGUAUUCGUAUUUUCGGACUGUGUUUUCGUGUGCUUUAUCGUACUCUUUCAUUGCAUCGAGGAGGCAAACGAUUUUACCUAAAGUUAAUUGAUUUCAUUUUGAACUGUUAAACUGUAUGGCAGUGCAUUUUUUGUAUGAUUUUUACUUAACUUUACUAUUAACAAUAAGUCAUAACUGAUGUGAAUCCUGAUUAAUAAACUUAAAGUUCAUUAUAUUAUGAACUUUACACACUGUAAUCAAUAAACUUAAGUAAACUUUCUGCAUGAAUCAAUGCGCCUUGACAACACACUGUGUUGGAGUUCACGGCUUGUUUUUAUUUCAUAAAAGCUAUUUAACGAACACAUCUGCUCUAUAUUUUCUAUAAAUAUAUCCGGAUAAAUGAAGACUGCUCACCGGAAUUUUAAGAAAAAUGUGGUGAUCAAUUUGAUUUUAAAAAAUGAAACAAACCUUGAACAAGAUUUACAACGACAAAAUCGAAGAAACGAAUUUUUCAACUUUUUUUAGGCAUUGAUGUUUGACGCCAGUGACGCCUCUAACUUGAAACAAGAAAAAUCACCAAGCAUGAAAGUGACUCUGAAGGACGAAUUGAAAAUAGGUCAUGAAAGCAUUGAAGAAAGAACAUUGAAUAGAAACAAUGGGCUAUUCUGUAAAAUUUUACAGGCUAGGCUGAUGAGGCAUGCAGUCACUGCUAUACUUUUCCUCAUACAUGUUGUUCUCUAAUACGGAGUAGUCGUAUUGAGUGGUCAAGCUACUAUCAGUUAUACCGCAGUUAACUGUUGCUAUACUAUUUGCAGGUAUUUUUUCCCCCUCAUACGCACACGUUUUGCUGAAAAAUUUAACAUUUAGAAGUAGCUAGAAAAUUCACAGAGUCUCUAAAAUACCGGCCCCAAAAAUAUUGAAUAAUGGACCCCUAAACAAGGUAUGAAUCGACGUAAGCGUCUGAUCUACGUAAAUGAAAAUCCCCGUCAUUUGAAAUUCCCGCCAAUGAAAACUGUCGGGAAUUUCAAAUUUAGUAAAAAAUUGGAAAAUGUUGAAUCUUGGUCUGUUAGUGGGGUAAGUGAAUCGAAGGUAUGCUCCUUUGCUACAGACUAUCCUAAAGCGACGAAACGCUCCGUUCCGUUCGUCCCGUUUCGUUUCAGUUUUGGCGUGAAGUUUGAAAUAAAUUGCGAUUUUUUUCAUUCGAUUCUUAUUGGUCCAAUUGCUCCCGGCCAGAGGGAGAUUGGAUGAAUGAGAGUCAGGUAUGAAAAUCUUUUCAUUUUAAGCGUGCCAGUAGGGCUCGCUUUUUGAAAUCACUCGGAUGUACCAUAGUACAGCACACCGAUUAACCAAUGCUAUUCGACGGGCCGUCCAAAUAUUUUUUCCCUCGGACCCGUUUUUCUGUCUUUGAACCGUUAUACCGUCAAACCCUGAUGGUCUUUUACCACAAAACCGAAUGAACUGCUAAUUGGAAACCCUUGAGAACAUUUUCCUGUCAAAACCGUAUAUUAUUUCAUUUGACAGAGACCUAGCCGAGCUUUUCUACGCUUGGAGGACUCA